CCUGGAGUGAGAUCUGCACUGGAGUCCUGGCUCCACCCCCUGACCUUGACCUGCCCGGGCUAAUUGCUCCUGUCCUCUGGACCUAAUAGCUGUCCCACGGGAAUAAUGGUACUCUGUGUGUUGUGGAUGGUUGAGAGAAUGAAAUCGUGUCCCUCCAGGGGCUCCCAGGGGCCUGCACAUAUAAGACCUAAUAAAUGGGCACUUGUGUAGUGAUUACGGGGCAGAUCUCAGCAGCCCUCCCCCCUCUGUUCUCCUGUGUGAGUUCCACAGCUAAAGUACACGGAAGAAAAAAAGAUGCAGCCUUUGAAAAAGAAGAAACAGGAAGCAGAGCUGAGAGUAUAAUCUCAGACACUGAGGCAGCCACCUUGAAGUCUGAAGUGACAAGCAUGAGGACAGCAAGCACGCUGAGAUGGCACCGUGGAAAACAGAGCCGGUCCUGAUGAAAUGUCUGGGCCACUGCCCAGGUCUGGGACAUCCACCUGCAGGCUUACUGCUACCAGCAUAUAGUUAUGCUCAGGCUACCAUUUGGUUUCCUGUUCACUGCUUCCUGGCCAUCCAUCCCUCCAGGACAGGAUUGCUGAGAGCCUGGCCUCAAGCUCGCUGAGGCAGAGGACAUGAAGACACAACUGCAGACAUGUUAGAUAGCUAGGAAGCAUGUCCUGUCUCACAAAAGUAAAGGAAAUCUGAAUAUGGUGCCUGUUUCCAAUAUGAUAGGAUACACAGUGAUUUAAAUAAAAGAAGCAAUUUUACACAAAAAUAAAAGAAGCAAUUUUGUGAAGAUCCA